UAGUCUUUGCAGUUGAUGUCAGGGAGAAGUUUACUCGACACGACAUACACACUGUGCAAGUCCCAGAUCAGGGAAACCCAGGAAUGUUUCGUACUGUAAAUAACAUCAAGUAGCAUCAAUUUGAACUUAAAUUGCUGUAUUUUCCAUUAGUACUGUUGAAAAAUGAGCAGUAAAAAGUUAGAGUGACACAACGUUUUAAUUUAAACCAACCAACACAAAGGAAUCUGAAGACCAACUAACUCCAGGAAACUGAGAACAAACUAACUCAAGGUAACUUAGCAGAGACACAAACGACUACAGAAAACCAAACUAACGAAAAUGAAGAAAAAGUAACUCCGAAAACAUAACCAACUCAAGGUUACUUAACGGAAAACCAACCUAACUCAAGCAAACUGAGAACAUGACUAACUCAAGCUGAGAACCAAACUAACUCAACCCACAACCUGAGGAAAUGUUGAGCCCUUGAUUUCACUUUUGUCACUACCGGUCACACCUCAGUAAGACCGAGGCUUGAGCAACAGGGGACUAUCCUCAUAUGUGAACCCAAAGUUUUUGUGCAACUGUGUUUCACCAAAGUAAAUGUAAAUUUUAAGAGUAUGUGUUUAGUAGUAGUAGUAGUACUGAUCUAUAUCUGUAUCUUAACUUGUGAAAUACAUUGAAGAUCGAUAUCAGGAUAUAAAAUACCUCUACGCCAAAGUGAGUUCAUGUGGAAUGGAACGUUUUUUCCAAGAUGUUGCGGAUCGUUAGAUCACUUUCGAUUUGUCUUUUGGAAAGUGUGACAGUCCCUUGCAGAGAUCAUGUCAUGUUUUUAAAUUUUAAAUAAACCUGAAUUCGUCUGACAGUGAAGCGCUUGCCCGUGCACCCUGUUACCGCCGAAGACUGAAAUAAUUCUAAGGAAAACAGUGCUUUGGCCGCAGAACUUUUUCCAAUAUCUGUCAAAGCGGGGCAUUCGUCGGGAGGACUUGUGCACAUUUGUAGCAUGUGCGUCAGCAGUGUGACCACUGUGGGAAGACGUCAACUGAAGUGACCGUGCGGCACACUGAUUUAAUCACUUCUGGAGGAGAAAAAAAAAAAAA